rnacentral:rRNA from 1 species
AGCGAACGCUGGCGGCAGGCUUAACACAUGCAAGUCGAGCGGGCAUCCUUGUGGUGUCAGCGGCAGACGGGUGAGUAACGCGUGGGAACGUGCCCUUCGGUUCGGAAUAACUCAGGGAAACUUGAGCUAAUACCGGAUACGUGCGAGAGCAGAAAGGUUUAUCUGCCGAAGGAUCGGCCCGCGUCUGAUUAGCUAGUUGGUGAGGUUAUGGCUCACCAAGGCGACGAUCAGUAGCUGGUCUGAGAGGAUGAUCAGCCACACUGGGACUGAGACACGGCCCGAACCCCGCCGGGAGGGAGCAGGGGGGAAUGUGGGACACAGGGGGAAACCCGGAGCCCCCCGGGCCGGGGGAGGGAGUUCGGCUUUAGGGUUGUAAGGCUUUUUUUCUCGGGACGUUAUGACGGGACCCGGAGAAAAAACCCCGGCUAAAUUUGGG